CAUCAGAUCCGGGUCUGGAGCAAACAAACGGCGCCCACAAAGGCUUCCCUGGAUUUCCCUUGUGUUGAGGAAAUCUGAGAAGUGAGGCCCUGGGAAGGCUCCCAGCUUCCAGGGCUUCUAUCUUCUCCUCCCCACCCCACCCCACUCCACCUCACCCCACCCCACCCCCAUUCUGGGCUCCGCUCUUUGUCUCUUCAUCCUUCUCGAUGCCUUUCUUCUACAUCUCUUUCUGUUUACUCUUUCUCCUUCCAUCUGUCUGUCUCUCUUCUCCUUCCAUCUUUCUUUAUAUAUUUCUUGUCCUAACAGUGUUCUUCCUCUCCUUUUCCUGUUUCUCUCUCAUAGUCUGUCUUUUGUGACAUUCCCAUCCCUUUGUUGUGAAUUUCCAUCCAUUUUGUCUUUUAGCACUGCAUCUGUCUCUCUACAUUUUGUCUUCUCUUUCUCUUUUUCUCCCUUUCGAUCUUUCUCUUCCUUUUUCUUUCUUUCACAGCAGAAAAACCUUUUCUUCAGCCUCUAUUGAAUUUUUCUGCCUUUCUCUGCUUGAGGAUUUCUUGUACUUUCAGGCUACGUAUGAAAGGAAAUCCUCUUUGGCCGGUAUAUUUACCCUUAUGAAUCCCAGGUAUUUCUCCCAGGUGACUAAAUAUAAAUAGCCCUCCAUGCAUGCCCAUCGAAAGACAUUAGUCUCAACCUCCAUCACCGUGAACUGUCCAUAGCGGCAAGAUUACUGUGCCCUGUGCCAGCAUACACAGGCACUCAAAAUGGACAUGUGGUUUUACCUAUGACCAGGCUCUGCAGACAUGGAAAUUUAUGUCCGGAGGGGUGGAAUGCUACAGCACAUAAAACUGAUACAGACAGAGAACCUCGGUAAUUUACAAUUCUUUUUUAUGUGGAGUGAGAGAAAGAGACUAUAAUUUUGCUACUAAUAAAGUUAUCCAUAUUUAUUCUCAAGAUUUGAGGGUUUAUCUUCGUUCAUAUUUCUUGCGGUCGUAACCUUGAAGGCUCUGUGAGAUCGCAGGUUUGUAAUUAGAAAACAGCUCAAUUCGCACGUCUCUUUGGAAACACCGAGAGUUUCAUUCCGCCCUGCAAAAUUUGUCGGUAACCAAGCACGAGAAGAAAGCUCCAUAUAGUCAUUCACCUUCUAAGAAUCGUUUCAGAGGCGCAAGGGAAACACAUACGUGUUUAUGAAAGAACGGAAUAGAGAAAGGGCAGAAGAAAACGAAAGCAAGCGCACGGUCCGCGCCGCAGGAACCCCGGGAAGGCGCGGGAGCCGGCGAGGCUUGUUGCGCACAACAGACGGGAAGCCGCAAUUCGCUGCUGGGCUGCUCACCACGGCCUGCGGCCCGGAUGAGAGCAGGACGCGAGCCGUAGCGGCGGGUUAGGGGCAGGCAGCACCCAACCUCCGGUCCGCCACCCGCUCGUCGUGCCGUCUGUCCGUCACGGGCCCCAGUGCGCAGCGCUCCCGGCUCGCGCGUUUUCUCGGUCCGCCGCCUCCACCUCUGCUCCCGGAGAGCCUGGCCGCGCUGCGGACAAGCCGUUAGUUCACCAGGCCCCAAGUUCACGGGCGCCGCGCGGGUUCCGCUGGCGUGCGCACCAGCUGGGCUCAGGCCCCAGGCUGCGGCGGUGCUGGAAUCCUCGGCCCCGGCUGGAGAGAACACGCCGGGCAACCGUAGGCUCGAGCCCCGGCGGGGGGGCCCCCCUGAGCCUCAAGGCCGCGGGUGAUCCGGGAAGAAACCAAGCGCCCGUUCUCUUUGAUCUGGUUUUAUAGAGAUUUGAUGUUGACAUUAAACUUUGAAUGCUUUUAUCUAUUUCGAUCUCUCUCUUAUUCUUAUUUUGGGCGGGGCCUCCUGUGCCAGAGCUAAGGGCUGGCGAGGGCACGCGGGCGGGACGGGCACCGGGGUCGACAGGGCGGGCACCGUGGUCGGCUGGACGAGCACAGAGGUCGGCGGGCCCAGAGGUGACAUGGCGAUGCGAGAGGAACGCUGGACGUAUCCACCUACCCACAUCCACAUGCAAUUCCCGAUCGCCCCACGUAUCCCUCCGUCCCCCACUCGCACGCCAGACCGCUCUCUCCAUCAGCAACGCCGGCGCGGAAGGCCGAGCAGAAUUGAGACGCCGCGGAGAGACCAAGGCUCGGAGGGGCGCAGAGCGCGGAGACCGGGAGUAACUGGGAGCCGCCGCCGCAACUCCGGUCUCCCUCCGCAGCCUCUGUACCCAUGCCGAGAGGCUCAAUUACUUUCAGGUUAUGGACCCCCCAAUUGGCAGGAAAAGCAGACGAGAAGGCUGAUGGAUUAAAUAAAACAUCCCAGGGUGUCACAGCUCCCUGAAGGUUCCGUCUUUAGGCCUCAGUUCCCUCCUGUGUAAAUGAAGGUGACAGCCUAGACGUACACUGGUGAUUCUCAAGCUUUAGAUGGCAUCGAUAUCACCGGAAAAAAAAAAAAAAUUAAAAACUGCUGGCCCUACCCCAAGAGUUUCUGACUUAGUAGGUCUCGGGGAGCACCAACAAUCUGCCUGUUUCACAAGUUCCUAGAUGUUACUGCUGUUAGCCUGAGAUCCAUACUUUGAGAACCUCUGGACUAGAUGAUAUGUAAACUUCCAUCUAGAUCUAACACACUCUUCCAUCUCCAGGCUCCUGUGUCUGCCCCAUCAAGCCCUGAGGAGUCUGGAGCCACAUAUGAGAGGGGCUGAUGUUUUUACACUCGAGCUUGUACCCCCUGUCAUCAGUGCAGAAUAAAUCUUUCACUGGCCAAUAGGGACUGAGGCCCCUGCCCACUGAAGGAUCCCAGUCCUCUCACUACACAUAUUCCAGUCUGAAUUAACCCCAGCUGGCUGGCUGUAGGGCCUGAAUCUCCAGCAGUGGCUAACACUGCUUUCCCUUUGUACCAAGCAGGGCUGGGCCUAAUCCUACUUAAAUGUCAAGCAGGCCUAUUGUGUACAGGGCUGCCGUCAGAAGGGCUGGCAAGAGCCCAGGGUACAUCUUCAGGCCCCUCGAUGUAGCCUAGUGUCUGCCAAACACUUGGUCCGCCACACACCCGCGCACACGCACACGCUCCGUCACACGCAGAGCUGGGUCGUCAGGAGAGCUAGUUUUACUUUGAUGUACCUCUCCGCUGCACAUUUGUUUCAGCUCCCCUCCUGGAGCCACAGCCUUAUUUAUCUUCUUGGCAUGGGUUCUUAGAAUACUUCCAUUCAGGCAGCAGCAAAAUCACUCAGCUCCACUGUUUUACGAAGUUUAUCAAACAGCAAAAUAUCCGGUCUCUUUGUCCAAUGGAUCUGGUGUGAAUGUGCCUACAGAACUGCCUUUCCCAGACGCCCUGGGGUCUGUGUGUGGUUAUAUAUAUCCUCCCCUGAGAGGACCCCACAAAAUUCAGGGCCUGCCUACUCAUGCUGCAAGGGGCCCCCCAAAGCAGCUGCAGGGCUCAGAGGCAUCUUCCUGAAUCAGGAGACCCAGCCACAUAUACUCCGCACAUGCAUGGGCUACACUCAUACUCCACCAGCAGAGCCUCAGAAGCCCACAGCAGACUAACAGCCCUGCGCCCCACCCCAGUCGCCCCUUCCCCAGGCCUGCCAUGGCACCCUCACCCCCAAAGGACAAAGCUUCUGCUAAAAUC
ensembl:lncRNA